AACGAACGCUGGCGGCAUGCCUAACACAUGCAAGUCGAACGAGAUCUUCGGGUCUAGUGGCGCACGGGUGCGUAACGCGUGGGAAUCUGCCCUUUGGUUCGGAAUAACAGUUGGAAACGACUGCUAAUACCGGAUGAUGACGAAAGUCCUAAGAUUUAUCGCCAGAGGAUGAGCCCGCGUAGGAUUAGCUAGUUGGUGUGGUAAAGGCGCACCAAGGCGACGAUCCUUAGCUGGUCUGAGAGGAUGAUCAGCCACACUGGGACUGAGACACGGCCCAGACUCCUACGGGAGGCAGCAGUGGGGAAUAUUGGACAAUGGGCGAAAGCCUGAUCCAGCAAUGCCGCGUGAGUGAUGAAGGCCUUAGGGUUGUAAAGCUCUUUUACCCGGGAUGAUAAUGACAGUACCGGGAGAAUAAGCUUCGGCUAACUCCGUGCCAGCCGCCGCAGUAA
rnacentral:rRNA from 1 species